rnacentral:rRNA from 1 species
UACGUAGGGUGCGAGCGUUGUCCGGAAUUAUUGGGCGUAAAGGGCUCGUAGGCGGUUUGUCGCGUCGGGAGUGAAAACCAGGUGCUUAACACCUGGCUUGCUUUCGAUACGGGCAGACUAGAGGCAUGCAGGGGAGAACGGAAUUCCUGGUGUAGCGGUGAAAUGCGCAGAUAUCAGGAGGAACACCGGUGGCGAAGGCGGUUCUCUGGGCAUGUCCUGACGCUGAGGAGCGAAAGCGUGGGGAGCGAACAGG